GGGUUAGUAGGUUGGUCGAGACCUCUGGUACGUACUGGUAUUACUGAUUCCUCCUUCCUGAUGAACCUUAAUGCCAUUAAUUUGGUGUUUUGGGGAAUUUGGACUGUUACUUUGAAAAAAUUAGAGUGUUUAAAGCAAGCUAACGCUUGAAUACAUUAGCAUGGAAUAAUGAAAUAGGACGUUCGAUCCUAUUUUGUUGGUUUCUAGGAUUGACGUA
rnacentral:rRNA from 1 species